rnacentral:rRNA from 1 species
UUGAACGCUGGCGGAAUGCUUUACACAUGCAAGUCGAGCGGCAGCGCGGGGGCAACCCUGGCGGCGAGCGGCGGACGGCUGAGUAACGCGUGGGAACGUACCCCAAAGUGAGGAAUAACUGCCCGAAAGGGUGGCUAAUGCCGCAUAUGGUCUUCGGAUUAAAGGAUUUAUCCGCUUUGGGAACGGCCUGCGUACGAUUAGAUAGUUGGUGGGGUAAAGGCCUACCAAGUCUACGAUCGUUAACUGGUCUGAGAGGAUGAUCAGUCAGACUGGAACUGAGAUACGGUCCAGACUCCUACGGGAGGCAGCAGUGAGGAAUCUUCCACAAUGGACGAAAGUCUGAUGGAGCAACGCCGCGUGCAGGAUGAAGGCCUUCGGGUCGUAAACUGCUUUUAUAAGUGAAGAAUAUGACGGUAGCCUAUGAAUAAGCACCGGCUAACUACGU